CCUACGGGAGGCAGCAGUAGGGAAUAUUGCUCAAUGGGGGAAACCCUGAAGCAGCAACGCCGCGUGGAGGAUGAAGGUUUUCGGAUUGUAAACUCCUUUUGUUAGAGAAGAUAAUGACGGUAUCUAACGAAUAAGCACCGGCUAACUCCGUGCCAGCAGCCGCGGUAAUACGGAGGGUGCAAGCGUUACUCGGAAUCACUGGGCGUAAAGAGCGCGUAGGCGGGAUAGCAAGUCAGAUGUGAAAUCCUAUGGCUUAACCAUAGAACUGCAUUUGAAACUGUUAUUCUAGAGUAUGGGAGAGGUAGGUGGAAUUCUUGGUGUAGGGGUAAAAUGCGUAGAGAGCAAGAGGAAUACUCAUUGCGAAGGCGACCUGCUAGAACAUAACUGACGCUGAUGCGCGAAAGCGUGGGGAGCAAACAGGAUUAGAUACCCCAGUAGUC
rnacentral:rRNA from 1 species